rnacentral:snoRNA from 1 species
CCUGCCUCUAGAGAUUUUAGGUGUGGCAGUUGUGUCACCUGUACAUCAGUAAGUGGCAGAGAGGAGAGAGGCUCGGCGUUCUGACCUGUGAACAUCAGAAUGGUUAGUAGCCUAACACU